rnacentral:rRNA from 1 species
GUAGUCCACGCUGUAAACGAUGAGUGCUAGAUAUCGGGAGAUUUUUUCUUUCGGUUUCGUAGUUAACAUGUUAAGCACUCCGCCUGGGGAGUACGAUCGCAAGAUUAAAACUCAAAGGAAUUGACGGGGGCUCGCACAAGUGGUGGAGCAUGCGGUUUAAUUCGAUGCUACGCGAAAAACCUUACCAACCCUUGACAUGGUGGUCGUAGGUUCCAGAGAUGGAUCCGUCAGUUCGGCUGGACCACACACAGGUGUUGCAUGGCUGUCGUCAGCUCGUGUCGUGAGAUGUUGGGUUAAGUCCCGCAACGAGCGCAACCCUCAUCCUUAUUUACCAGCGGUUCGGCCGGGGACUAUAGGGAAACUGCCGGUGAUAAACCGGA